AUGCUCAGCAGUGACUGCAGUGCACCCCAGCUGGCCUUCCUGUGGGAACAAGUAUCCCAGGCGCUCAGCGAGGCAUUGGCAGAGUUUGUCUUGCUUGUGAAUGGCAUCAGUCAGCCCUGCUCAGUGCUGAGCCUCUCCCAGAGAGACAAAGUGCCCUGGCCCUUUUCCCCAAACGUUGCCUUUCUGUUCUGCAACCUGAGUGCAGAGGAGGAGGACAGAAGCUGCUUCCCAUUGGUAUUCUCCAAAAUGCUCUCUGCGCAGGCAGACAGGGCUGCGCUCUCUGGGGGUAAGAGAGAGAUGGGAAUCUGUUCUCCGCUGAGGUGCAUGGGGCUGCCUCCUGCCAUUCCUAGGCAGGCUGGUGAUGAAAUGUUUUGUUUCAGAGUGAGGAAGAGGCGCUGCAGCGAGCUCUGGAGAUGUCCCUGUCAGAGUCAGCACACAGCUCUGCGCAGCCGCCCAGCACACAGGAGGAGGAAGAUCUGGCACUGGCCCAGGCACUGUCAGCAAGCGAAGCUGAGUACCAACAGCUACAGCGGCAGGCCACCACUACUGACGAGGACGUCUGAGCCAGGCUGGCCUUCCCUUCCUCUCUCCGUCCUCCCAGACUGCACUCGUCGGGCAUGGUGUGGCACCAGGCCCCUCUUGAGCUCUGUCCCCUGGGCUCUCAAUAAAGGGCUCGCUCGGAAAGCCCAGGCUCUGGGGCCACGUGUGGCUUGUUCUGCGGGUGCCCACAGCCAGCCUGGUCCUGCCCCGAGCACAGGAUCCCACAGCCUCCCUGCCGGGGUCUUGCAGGCGCACRCCCUGCCCGGAGCACACAGGAGCACAGCUGGCAAGGACCUGGUUUAA
rnacentral:lncRNA from 1 species